AAUACGAAUGUGGGUCAAAUGGUUCAUAAAGAGGAGUAGGCCUUCCAUUAAAUGAAAUUGUAAACAUAUUUAUUUGCCGCUUGACUCAUCCCUAGGAAAAUCUGUAAUAUUGAUGAUGUUUUGGUGUUGAUUUUGCUACGAAUAUGAUGGCGUCAUCAAUAACAAUCAAUUGCCUGUGACAAAUUGAGCCUGACUUUGAAGUUUUCUUCGCUGCCAACAAUCCAACUUCGUUCCAGUCCCUAUUCUCAGUCCCCCCAGAUGUGUGGAGUGUAUGAUGUCAUGGGAAGUUCGCUCUGAGCGACUUUAUCUCUACUCCAACACCGCUCACCCUUUUUUAUUGCCCGUCUGCUGCUGCUGCUGUCCGACUGCUUUAUUAUUGUUUUCUGUAGAUAUUUUAGCGCAAACAUUUGGCAAAGCCGAUACACGUACGAUGGAAAUCUAAAAAACUCUGGAGCUACAGACACAGCGCCAGCAGCUGCUUGGAGCCACAAAAUUUCGCGCUAAUUCAAUUGACAGCACAAAAGCACGAAAAAAAGAAAAGAAACUAAGAAGGAAAUACUCGCGUAGAAAUGAAUUGUGGCGUGGAUGGAGAUUGAGAGAUACAGUGGAAACCCAAAAAGCAGGAAUGUCGCAAAAGUUUGGGUUUUCCUCUGCAGAGAAUUUCGAAUUUCUCUUUUGGCAGCUUUCACUGUUCCAACGGGAAAACACAACCACAGGAAGAGGUGCGGCAGUCGCCUCGUUAAAUUAAUUAAAUCUAUUUACUUAAAA